UACAGAGGUCCCAAGCGUUGUUCGGAUUUACUGGGCGUAAAGGGCGCGUAGGCGGCGCGGUAAGUCGGAUGUGAAAGCUCGGAGCUCAACUCCGAAAUGGCAUUGGAUACUACCUUGCUCGAGGGUUGGAGGGGGGACUGGAAUUCUCGGUGUAGCAGUGAAAUGCGUAGAUAUCGAGAGGAACACCAGUGGCGAAGGCGAGUCCCUGGACAGCUCCUGACGCUGAGGCGCGAAAGCUAGGGGAGCAAACAGG
rnacentral:rRNA from 1 species